rnacentral:lncRNA from 1 species
GGAACUGCAAGGCUUGUUAGCGUGAUCAGCAACGUCCGAAUAGCGUCAGACGUCUAAAGAAGCUAUCUCCUCUACAUGACACCCCACGAAUCCAGCGUAGGGAAGGCCGGGAGUAGUGGAUCGAAGUCGAAGUCCGGCGCGUAGGCAGGUGGUGGUAACCCGGACGAGAAGCCCCCGCUCGGGAUCCCGACCGCGCCCGUAUCCAGAAAAGACACCGAGGUGUCGAGCGUGGGCAGGCGGAUCUGUUGCAGGGCCGCCCGGUCGCCCGCCGCGGACCGUACCGGCUCGGGCUUCACCAGUGGCUCCCCCGCGAGACGGAACCCCGUCUCCCGCUGCACCACCUCCUGGAAGUCGAUCGGGUCGGCGGAGAUGUAGGUGGUGGCCGACCGCUUCGACGCGUGCGACUUCCUCUUCGAGACCCGCCCCUGCAGGGCCGGGCCGAGGGCAUUCCGCCGGCGAAGGGUGGCGUCUCCGGAUGCAGAGGAGCAAGACGGGGGAGUGAAUUGGUGCUGGAGGAGGAGGAGAGGGGAGGAAAGGGUGUCGGCGGAGGCGGCGGAGGAGGAGGAGGAGGAUGAGGUGGUGGUGUCGGAGAGGGAGAUCUGGAGGGCCAUGGCGACGGCCGCGUUCUCGCGGGCAGAGACCUCGCUGAUCCACGCCGAUUCCGAGUGGUACACCCACGGAUCGAGCACCGAGCAGUUGUCCGCCAUAUCCCUCGGCGGAUUCGAGGAUCGAGAAGGGCGAUCGAUUGGGAUUGGAGCUCAGAAGGGAGUGAAGGCGAAUGGUGAGAGGCACGGAGG